CCCACCUCCCCUCUCCGAUCUCAUCUUCCAUUCCUUCAAACCCUAACCCCGAUUCAAGGAUGCUGCUAAAGCCAACAACUGAUUCCCUUCUCCUUCUCGUUUAUCAUCAGGGAAUGGAUCCAAGGAGCAGCAGAUCGUUCGAGGCGUUUGAAAUCCCGAUCUCUUUAAAUGGAGAAUUUGGAGAAGAUGGAUAUUGGUGAAUUUAUGAGGCCAAAUGACAUACACAUGUUGUCUAGAUCAGCUUUAAAGGAGCAUGACUGGUCACUGCGGCACAACUUGCUGUUUCCAAUGAGUGAAGCUGCUGUCAAGUUCCUAAAAAUUCCUCCUUUGGGUACAUCACCCUCAAAAUUAUUGAAGGAGAG